AUCUCCACGACUGGACCAUCCUAUCGGAUAGCUUAUCAGACUGAUGUUGACUGUUAGAUCUCCUGGCAACAGCAGUCGAUGGGCUGUCUGACAUUUUGGUAUCUGUCAUCCGAU